rnacentral:tRNA from 1 species
CGGGGUAUGGCGCAGGUUGGUAGCGCGUCCGCUUUGGGAGCGGAAGACCGAAGCGUCAAAUCCGGCUACCCCGA